AGUCGGUCGGAGUUCUGGUGGCCGGCGUCGUGAAAGCGCGUUUCUGUUAACGUGGCCUUCGCGGGAGCUGUCGGACGGGUCUCACAGAACCAAUUCGAGCCGCGUGGCCACACGGGAGCCAGUCCCUUGCUGCGAAGCAGACUCCUCACCUGUAAAAACCGAGCUUACCCACUCAGGGCCUGGUAUCAGGAUGAAGGGAGGAAUGUAUCUAAAGCCGCAACCGCGUGCUACGCCCUUUCUACAUGUUAGCACUUAGGGCGAUUGUGAUUGUUGCAUUAAUUGGUGUGUCUGAUUGUGUCCUGCUGGCCUCCUUCAGGAGACCUGGUGAAGGCAGGACAAGGUUGCUCCGCCAACCCCUGUAUCCGCAGCCUGCUUGGGGCCACACGUAUAUAGUUAAGUAGAUAGUCAUCAGGUAAGCCAAUUCUUACCCACACUCGCAGGCUGAGUGGAAGCUCAGAAAGUCAUUUCGAUAAUAAUAGUGGCAAUGACAGUAGUUGUCGUUGGCCCUUCGGGAGCACGUCCCUUAUCAGGCACCCAGCUAAGUACUUUACAUGUCAUUUAAUCUUUUAUCUUCAUAACAGCCCUAUGAGGUAGGUACUAUAGUUUUUCCCGUUUUACAGAUAGGAAACUGAGGCACAGAGAGGGUCCAAGGACACAGCUAGUCAACGGCAGACCAGGAUUAGAACCCAGGCAGGCUAGGUCCCACGUCCUGCUCUUCAUCACCGUCAUACCACUCACGGUGGGAGAGAAGCAGUGGCCCAGAGGCUCAGCCUUGCCGAGGAAUCCCCACCACUCGUUUCUGUCAGCAGACCUCCUGCACUGAGUGAAUGACCUCACCUCAGGUCCCACUGAGAAAACCAGUCCAUAAGAAGGGAACAGAUGGGACUUCCCUGGUGGUCCAGUGGUGAAGACUCUGCACUUCCACUCAGGGGCCACGGGUUCAAUCCCUGGUCAGCGAACUAAGAUCCCACAUGCCUCACAGUGUGGCCAGAAAAAUAGAAGAGGAAGGGAACACAUGGUUGCCUCACAACUGCUUUGGCGCCCAUCUCUUCUGUUCUUGUUCCAAAAGGUGAAGGGUUGCUUUUCACAGAGGCUACUUCCGCCCCUUGCGUCCUAAACCCCAUCACCAUUUGCCAUCUCCUGGACUUCACUGCUUAGGUCAGCAGUUCUCCAAGUGUGGUCUGGGAACCCCUGGGUGUCCUGAGACCCUUUCAGAGAGUCCAUAAUUGUCAAAACUAUCUUCAUAGUAAGAUGUUACUUGCAUUUUUCAGUCUUAUUUUCUCGUAAGUGUACAGUAGGGUUUUCCAGAAGCUACAUGAUGUGUGACAUUGCAACAGAUUGAAUGCGAAAGAAGAUAGGAGAAUCCAGCCGUCUUCUGUUAAGACACAUUUUAAAGAGAUUUUGUAAAAAUAUAAACUGCCUUUCUUUUCACUAAUUCUUUUUGUUUUGGAAAACAUAAUUGUUCAUUAGAAUGUUAAUAUGUGAUGGGUUUAUUGUUAUUUUAAAUGAAGUAGUGAACAAGUAUCUAAAUUUUUUUAUCCGUUUCACUAUCUAGUACGGUAAAUAGUGAUAGAUAUAACUCACAAAAAAGCAGAAGCUUUGGGGGACCCUCAGUACUUUUCAGGAGUGUAAAUGAAUCCUGAGGCGUGGUCCUGAGACCAAAAGGGCUUAGGCUAGGAGUCCCUAACCCCCGGUAGGGAACCGGGCUGCACAGCAGGGCGGGACCAUCUAGUUGCAGGAAAACAAGCUCAGGGCUCCCACUGAUUCUGCAUUAUGGUGAGUCGUAUAAUUAUUUCAUUAUAUACUACAAUGUAAUAAUAACAGAAAUAGAGUGUACAAUAAAUGUAAGGCACUUGAAUCAUCUGGAAACCAUCUGCCCCUUUCCCCACCCUGGUCCAUGGAAAAAUUGUCUUCCACGAAACCAGUCCCUGGUGCCAAAAAGUAUGGGGACUGGUGGGUUAAGUUACUCCCUCUCUGUCAUAAUAGCCAACAGUCUCAUUCAUUCAUUCAUUCUCUGCGUUUCUAUCUAGCUUCUCUUCCCUCCUUCCCUGUUGAAACAUGUUCUGGUGUCCCGCAUCUUUAACAAAAAAAGAUUCUUUUCUAGUUUCCACCCCAUUUCUCUUCUCCCCUUUAACCCACUUCUCAGUAGAGUCAUCUACACAUGCUGUCUCUGUCUCAGUUGCUGUUAACUCUUGAUCAGUCUUAACAGAGGCAUGGCUCUAUUACUCCCUGGCACCUGGUCAAUUUUCAUAAAUAUUUCUAUACUUGACUUUACCUUACUUGACCUCUUAGUAGCACCCAACGCAGUUAAUCACUCCUUCCUACCUGAAACUCACUCUGAUCAGCUACGAUAACAUCACGUGGUCCUGGGCCUCAUCCUGAAUCACCAGCUACUCCACUCUCAGGCCCCACUGGUAAUUUUCCUCCUCUGUAUGGCCUUUGGACAUUAGGGUCCCUCUGACUCUGACCUAGGUGGUCCUCUUAUACUUAUUGCCAGCCUUGACCCCCUCCACUGGUAUGUAUCGAAGACUACCUGGACUUCAGCCAUCCACAUAGCCCUUGAUCUGCCAACCUCCCUCACUCUGACCCAUUUCAAUAAAUGGUACCACUCGAUCCCUUAAUGAUCAUUGCUUCCUCCCUCACGUCUAGUGCUGCAGCAACUCUUGUCGUUCUAACGCCAGAAUAUGUGCACUGUGAUCUCAUUCAUCCAUUCUCUCCAACCUCACCGGCCCCACCCUGUCUUAUGAGGAGGGAACAUAGGCAGAGCCUUUAUUGUGGUUUCCGAAGGAAAAGCCAGGCAGGUUCAGCAGGUUUAGCUUUGGUUAGUUUGAAUAAUUCCAGCAAGUCUUUUAUUAUCUGUAGGAGUUGGCUAACCCUGGGAAGAGCAGUCACUCCAGUGUUAGCAAAACCCCAAGACGUCAAAGCUUCGGGAAGUACAGAAAAUAAAAAACAAGGGAAAUACAUGUUAAUCCAUUCAUCUGUUGAUGGGCACUUGGAUUGUAAUGGGCACAUAAUUGUAAUGAAGCGUAUCGAUUUUGUAAAAUUCCUUUUCUAGUCAUGUGUUGCUGGUAUGUACGAAUACAAUUGAUUUUGUAUAUUGACUUUACACUGAGUGACUUUCACUUAUAAAUUCUAAUUAGCAAUAAGCUUUUUGUAUUUUCAAGUUACACAAUAUUGUGAUAUGCAAAUAAUGAGUUUUAUUUCUCUAA